AUUUGUCUGGUUAAUUCCGAUAACGAACGAGACCUUAACCUGCUAACUAGACUUUUUCAUUUUAUGAUUAAGUCUUCUUAGAGGGACUAUAUGCUUUAAGUAUAUGGAAGUUUGAGGCAAUAACAGGUCUGUGAUGCCCUUAUAUGUCCUGGGCUGCACGCGUGCUACACUGAUGUAUACAACAAGUGCCUAGCUAGAUAUAGUAUGGCAAUCUCGAAUAUGCAUCGUGAUGGGGAUAGAUCUUUGCAAUUAUAGAUCUUGAACGAGGAAUUCCUAGUAAGUGCAAGUCAUCAUCUUGCAUUGAUUAUGUCCCUGCCCUUUGUACACACCGCCCGUCGCUCCUACCGAUACCGGGUGAUCCGGUGAACCUGUUGGACCCUUUUGAGAAAAACAAGUAAAUCAUAUCACCUAGAGGAAGGAGAAGUCGUAACAAGGUUUCCGUAGGUGAACCUGCRGAAGGAUCA
rnacentral:rRNA from 1 species